AAUUACACCAUUUAAAAAAAAAAUUGGCGAUCGUUACAACAUUAAUGAGAUUGCAAAGAUUGACACAUUUUGAAGUCCUUGAAAAAUGAUAAACAUUUUGGCUAAUCGGAUUCGGGGAGCAUUAGAAAUAUCAAUAGACGACUUCAAUAAAAAUGUCGACGAACGAAAUCAUGCUCCCCUUUGCCAACUUCCCGAUUCAUACCUACAAUUGAUAAAAGCAUUUGAACAUAAUACUUAUUGUACAUAAAUUUAGGGAACUUGUUACACUAUUUUAUCAGUCAAAUUAGUGGGUCACUAAAUGGUUCCACUUACAGAUUAUGUGCCGUUGGUUUCUUUAACCAGGUAUUAUUUAUUUAUUUAUUUAUUUUGUUAAUUAAAAAAACUAAAAGCGCAUUCUAUCACUAUGAGUCUUUAACUGAGUAUGCAUCAGAUUCAUCUUUUUCCUCUUGUAACCAUCGAAGUACACUUUAACACACUCUUUCUCUCUCUUCAAAAUUUUAUCAUUCCAUAUGGUGUUUGGAGAAAUAUUUGUAGUUUCCUCGCCUAAAAUUCACCCCGGUCAAAAGCCCUCAAUCAAUUUCGAUAAAUUUCAACUUUUUCUCUCUACAUUCAACUUAUCUCUCCUUUGAAAUUGUUAGAUUUAGAGACGUGACCUCCAAUCACUGUGCAAGGCUGCAAGCUACCAUGGCCAACGCUCUAGCUUUAAUUCUGAUUGUAUGAUUUUUAUUAAAUGUCGUUUUCUAGGGUUUUGAUUUUUGUUGAUUUUGUUAAUUAUUUGUUUCAUCUGAUGAUUUGUGUGCCUUUGUGUGUUAAUCGAUGAAUGUUUUCGUAAUUUGAAUGAUUAUUGUUUUUGUUUGAUUCAAUCCACAGAUUCCUGCUAUUUGGUUUCCUUGUACGGUAAUGUUGAUGAUGAACUUCUGAAGUUUAAUUAGUUUGCAUGUGAAUAAAGAAAUCUACGCUUAAAAUAUUUCUUUAUGAUCCAAUUUCUUGUUAAUUUCCAACAAUCUAAAAGUCAUAAAAUAUUAUAUUGUUAGUGAAUUAUUGCCGAAAUUUGAACACCCUUUGUAUGAGAUUAUGUGUGGUGCCAUUGUGUGGAUUAGAUAAUUAAUUACUCCAUAAAAGAUUGUUGAAGAUUAUGUAUUGUUAGAGAUUAUGUGCAACCCCUGUACAUUAGUAAUACUAUCAUACUAUGAUAACAUAGAGACAUGGAAGAAAUUGGUGAAUAGUUCUCAGCUUUUCCAAACGUUUUAUAUUUUGUUGUAUAAAUUGUCGAGUGUUGAUGGACGGAUAGAUAGUCAUUAGCUAGUCUAGAUGGGGAAUGCAACAUGAUUUAACUUGUAGCUCAUCAAUGGGAGAUGUAUAGGACUGAUACCUAAUGUUCCAGGUACAAAACAAAGAAAAUUACUGGUUUGGUUAGGCUUCCCUAGAGCUUUAAUACGGGAAGUCUAAGGGAUUUGAUUUUUGAAAAUGUUAGUACCUCUAGAACUAUCUGUUUGAUGCUACUAUUUGAUUUUUUUUUUUUUAUCAAAAUGGGUGCAAUACAUACUUCGUGUUUGAUACAUGUAUGUAAUAGAUUAUUUGAACUUUUGGGAGAAACGUAGCUGUUUUGAGAUUCUUUUUGUCAUUUAUUUGUAUAUUAGAAGGGUUCUCUUUAAUUUUGUAAAAAAAAUGAUGUUUUGUCUUGGUCUGGUUCUAAGAAUUGUAGUUUAUCACGAUCUUAUGUGUUUGGGAGGUUGCAAUUGGGAGAUCUAUAUAUGUCAUCUUGUUCUUUUGGUUAUCAGUAGCCAUUUAUAUAGUUUUAUUGUGAAAUAUUCUGAUUUUAAUUUCAUCUGGCUGGAAUUUAUGUUUUUGAUGAUGUUUUUAGCUUGAUUUUAGGAGUGUUGCUUGCCAUGUCUCAAAUGCUAAGACGAAGUCUAUUUUUUUGACUGAGUAGUUUUGUUAGAUGAAUUGUUUUUUACUUGGAUUAGCUUAUGCUUUGGUUUGAGUAUAACAAUGAAACAGGGGUGUGUUUAUUUUUCUGCAGUGUAUAACUUUCUAGUAAUAAAUUGAAAUCUUUAUGAAACCAUUAAAGGACAUGUAAAAAAAAACAUAUAACCAAGAAUUAUAGCCGAUAAAAUCUUACGUAUUACCAUUUAAUUUUUGUUUAAGAGGUUGAUGGAAACAUACCUUAUACGGGUGGUUAUUGUAUGUAGUGACGAAUUUAAAUUGAAAUUAAAACCUGCAUAAAAAUCAUUUACGAAUAGUCAAUUUCAAUAAGUUUUUUGUUAGAACGUGCAAACAUACCAUAUCUUUUGAAAGUGAUUCGAUGGACUUGGUAGUUAUCGAUUGCAAUGACCAAUUAUAUAAUCUACACAAAGAUCGACGUAAGUGUUUUAGUACAAUACAAUUCCCUUCAGAUAAUGUAAUCAUAAAUUGUUCAAUUUGUAAUCUCAAUAACACAGUUUCUAUUUUUUUGUGCAUGAAUUCGGGAGAAAAAUAUACUCACAUGUAUUGGCCUAAUCAAAGAGAAACGGCGGUGGAGCUUUUGUGAUGGAACUUUGUGAAGAAUUGUGAAGAUAUACGACAGUUUUAGGUUUACAGCAACUUGAAUUUGAAAAAUAUGUAAAUAAUUUUGGCAAUUGUAAUAAAUUUGUAUAUUAUUUGUUUUUUGUUUUUGGUAUUCCUUGCCGGUUAGUAACUGAAAUGAAGAAUGAGAGAUUAUACGGUUGCUUUC